CGCAUCUGUGCAUGCAGCAUAUCAAUAGCGGAGGAAAAGGUACCUACGCUUAGGAUGUUGAAGAUGUAGCACAUCAUACACGCAUGACACACUGCAUAUCAAUAAGCGGAGGAAAAGAAACUAACAAGGAUUCCCCUAGUAACGGCGAGUGAAGCGGGAAGAGCUCAAAUUUGAAAUCUUAAAGGGUUUCCCUUUACGAAUUGUAGUUUAAAGAAGUGUUUUCUGUUGAGGUUUUGGUAAAAGUUCUUUGGAAUAGGACAUCAUAGAGGGUGAGAAUCCCGUAUUUGACCUUUACUUUCAACUUUGUGAUACACUUUCAAAGAGUCGGAUUGUUUGGGAAUGCAGUCCAAAAUGGGUGGUAAAUUUCAUCUAAAGCUAAAUAUUGGCGAGAGACCGAUAGCGAACAAGUACCGUGAGGGAAAGAUGAAAAGAACUUUGAAAAGAGAGUUAAACAGUACGUGAAAUUGUCAAAAGGGAAGCGUUUGACACCAGUGUUGUUUUUCUGAAAAUCAAUUAAAGAACUGUUUAUGCUAAGUUGUUUAGACUUUAUCAGCUAACUGUUUAGUUUUGAGCUUUUCUUUAAUGCACUUUUCAGUUAACAAGUCAACAUCAAUUUCUUUUGCUGUAAAAAAGCUUGAGGAAGGUGGCUUGAGAUUCGUCUUAAGUGUUUAUAGCCUCUUGCCUAUGCAGUCGGAGAGAUUGAGGUCUGCAGCGUAGAUCCUUCGGGGCUAAAUGCAUUUGUGCUAAGUUAUAGCAUUUUAUAGACAACUUGUUGACUAUGAUUUGUCUUGUAGCUUACUCGCUUAUGUUAUUUUACCUACGCUUAGGAUGUUGAAUCUGUGCGAGACUAC
rnacentral:rRNA from 1 species